rnacentral:rRNA from 1 species
AUGAGCGGAUCUUUGCCAACCGUCAGAUCGAUAACGACCAGGUGCGGCAACGCGUCGGCUGCCGGCCUGAGCUCACAGAAUGCUUUGCACGCCGCCGUCUUCCAGGGCUCAGAAAUGGUGAGGCUACUACUGGAGUGGACGCCAUGUGGCCCAUCCCUGGCUAGCCAAGCCGACGGCACCGGCAGCACUCCGCUUCAUUUCGCCUCAUCCACCGGCGACAACCUCUCCGUCGUAGGCGCCAUCCUACGCGCCGUGCCGCCGUGUGUGGUGCGCAUGCGGGAUUCCGGCGGCCUCUCCGCUCUCCAUGUCGCGGCGGGGAUGGGCCACGACCUCGUCGCCGAGGCGCUGAUCAAGGCCUGCCCCGACGCCGCCGAGCUCCGGGACGACCACGGCGGGACCUUCCUGCACGCCGCGGCCAGGGGAGGCCACCUCAAGGUGGUGCGGCUGGCCAUCAAGAAACGGACGCUGCGCGGCCUCCUGAACGCGCAGGACGGGGACGGCAACACGCCCCUCCACCUGGCGGUGGCCGCGGGCGCGCCGGCCGUGGCGGAGGCCCUGAUGGGGAAGGGCAAAGUGCGGGACGACGUCAUGAACAACGACGGCCAGACGCCGCUGGACCUCGCCGUGAGAUCGACCAGCUUCUUUUCCAUGGUCAGCCUGGUGGCGACGCUGGCCGCGUUCGGAGCGCGGUCCCGUCCCGAGAGAUGGGACCGCGUGCAGCAGUGGGACGGCCACGAGAUAACCAAGGCGAUAGAGAAGACGUCCGACAGCCUCGCGGUGAUCGCCGUCCUUGUCGCCAGCGUCGCCUUCACCGCCGCCAACAACCUGCCCGGGUCGUACGAGCAGAGCGGCGGCGCCGAUCCCGUGGGGAAGGAGGUGAUCAAAGGCAUGGCGGUCCUCCAGCACGAGCCCAUCUUCAAGUGCUUCCUCAUCCUCGACAGCUUCGCCCUGGUGACCUCCGUGCUCGCGGUGGUCCUGCUCCUCUACGGCAAGGCGUCGCACUCCGCCGGGUCGUGGAAGAACUUCGCGGCGGCGCUGCACUGCCUGUGGCUGUCCCUGGUGAGCAUGGUCCUGGCGUUCUACGCGGCCCUGGCCGCCGUCACGAGCACAGUGGCGGUCCGCAGCAUCGCCUACUGGAUCACAGAAAAUGCGCUUUUCGUGCUGCUAGCAGUGGUCUCGCACUUGGUCAGCCCUCAGGUGCCGUUCCGCACGCUGUCCAAGUACCUGUGGCGAUGUGGCGAUGGAGGACGGCGCAGCGUCGUCAUGCAGCAGUAUCCACUCGUCGGUGCGUUCGUGCGGAACCUCAUUCUCUUCAUGGUCGCAAAUUAUGUUGUAGUGGUUGUGGGCCUUAGCACGGUCUCAGGGCUUGUGUGA